rnacentral:rRNA from 1 species
UACGUAGGGUCCGAGCGUUGUCCGGAAUUACUGGGCGUAAAGAGCUCGUAGGUGGUUUGUCGCGUUGUUCGUGAAAACUCACAGCUUAACUGUGGGCGUGCGGGCGAUACGGGCAGACUGGAGUACUGCAGGGGAGACUGGAAUUCCUGGUGUAGCGGUGGAAUGCGCAGAUAUCAGGAGGAACACCGGUGGCGAAGGCGGCUACCUGGACAGAAACUGACGCUGAGGCACGAAAGCUAGGGGAGCAAACAGG